UUACAGGUUCUGGCAUAGCUGGACGGUGCCAUAAAGAUAGAAUAUUUAUCUUCAAACUUUGAGACUACCGGUGAGCUGCUAUAUUCCUCAAAUGAAAAAGGACGCUCAUGGAGUUUGAUAUAUGUGGCCAUCGUAAACAUGCUACAGAAGAAGCUGGAGACUCAGAAGAACAAGGAAUCUGAGAAUUUUAUAAAAAUAUGAGGAGAUCUGUGCACCCCUGGUUGAAGAAUUUUGUUACAUUACUUAUGGGGUCCCUUAUUGAUAACACAUGUUUUAAGGAAAGAGUGGGCAGUAAAGGCGCGCAAAUCAUAGAGCCAAAAUGAUAUUGAUGAGGUGUGCAUUGAAGUGGCUGAUUAUAUACAGAGUUUGGUGUAAGACUUUUGGCUUCCAUGAUUUUGAGUAAGGCUAGUUUUUGCUUUGAAGCAAAGUUUGGUGUAGAACGUACUUUUGUAGUUGGUUGCUAAUAUGUUUCUAAGCUAGUCUUUGUAGGUUUUGGGUUUUAUUUUGU